AAUGAACGCUGGCGGCAUGCCUAACACAUGCAAGUCGAACGGAAACACGCGGAGGGGUCCCCACUAAUGGUAGCGGGGGGCGGAAGGGUAAGGAAUGGAUCACCAGCUGGUGAGUCUGGGAGAAAAACGGGAGACAAGAGCUAAUAUCAUCUAAUAUUUAGAACGGGGGGGCUCAAUGGAAAAUGUGGCCUUGCGCGUUUGGAGUAGCCGAUGUCGGAUUAGCUAGUUGGUGGGGUAAGGGCCUACCAAGCCGACGAUCCGUAGCUGGUCUGAGAGGAUGAUCAGCCACACUGGAACUGAGACACGGUCCAGACUCCUACGGGAGGCAGCAGUGGGGAAUCUUGGACAAUGGGCGAAAGCCUGAUCCAGCAAUGCCGCGUGAGUGAAGAAGGCCUUCGGGUUGUAAACCUCUGUUGUUAGGAAAGAAAAGAAGCUGGAUAAUCCAUGGACGUCUUGACGGUACCUAAACAAUAAGCACCGGCUAACUACGUG
rnacentral:rRNA from 1 species